UGGUACACGCUGCUGGAUUUUUAAAUAUAAUUUAAUAUAUUAGUUUAUCUCAUUCUCAACACCUUGUAUUAAACUACAAUAGUCUACAAACAAUUCGUGCACUCUACUCUAGAGAAUAGAUGUUGGAAACAUCACAUUCAGGGCAGUCUAUCCAGCAGGAACUUGACAGACACAAGCUAUUUUAUGGAUCAGGUGUAAAUGAUUAGGAGCGCUAGGAGUGGGUUGGAAGCUCUUCUCUUCUAGCUCGACAACGGAAAAAUAAGCUGCUGAGUCAAACAGGCCACCUGACGCGCGGACUCAACCGCUGAAUUGUCAUCAACGCUGUGUUUGUACCUUUCAGACCGAAUUCGGUGACGGACUGAAAGGUUCCCGAAGUGGAGACAAAGGUGAUCUCCUCCGGAAAGCAACGGACAGUUUAGAAAUCGGCACGAGACUACAACGAAGGGCGAGAAGGAUGUUCUAUUCAUGCCGUCGUCUCAUUCUGUAGAUAGACAGAGAAAAGGACCCCUUUGGUAUCAAGCUCCUCUCUCUACCAUUCGGUGGUUCGGGGGGCGACAGAGACUGUUAAAUUCUCUGACACUGGGAGUGAAAACAACGUGACAUUGCGAAGGAAAAACCUGCCUGUUCCCUGCUUUUAGUGCAGUUCCUCAACAAGCGUCAGCUGCAACUCUUUGGCUCUCUGUAUCCCUCGUUCCCCUCAUAUCACGGACCAGCAUGCUGCCUGCUUUCAUGACAUUUCCUCCCCGCCAACCUGGCUAGUUUUGCUGCCUAUUCCCAGCGAGCUCUUCUUGGUGUAUCUCCCGACUGUCCACGGGCCUACUUCACCGACUGCACCAUGGGAAGUCAAACACUCGGCUAUUCAAACAUCGCCUGUACAGUAAUUUAUUUUCAAUGCACUCCAUAUUAAUUUCCAUUCAUGUUAUUGAUAUAAAGCAGCUUGGUGCUUGUCAUUAUGCCAUUAAUUAAAGCUUGUGAAGGACACGUGUGCCAGUCCAUAUGACUGCAGGCCUCACUUUUUAUUUAUUUUUUAUUUCACCUUUAUUUAACCAGGUAGGCAAGUUGAGUACAAGUUCUCAUUUACAAUUGCGACCAGGCCAAGACGCGGUAUUAGCUUGUUGCAAGUUGGCCAGAUCCUGCCAUCCUGCAGACCAGCCUUCUCACUCUAGAGAUGUCUUUGCAUGGUGUCGUCCAGCCAUGAUUGUUCUCUCUUGGUAUUUUGCU